UACGAAGGGGGCUAGCGUUGCUCGGAAUGACUGGGCGUAAAGGGCGCGUAGGCGGUUUGUACAGUCAGGUGUGAAAUCCCCGGGCUCAACCCGGGAACUGCGUCCGAUACUGGCAGGCUUGAAUCCGGGAGAGGGAUGCGGAAUUCCAGGUGUAGCGGUGAAAUGCGUAGAUAUCUGGAGGAACACCGGUGGCGAAGGCGGCAUCCUGGACCGGCAUUGACGCUGAGGCGCGAAAGCCAGGGGAGCAAACGGG
rnacentral:rRNA from 1 species